UUGUUUUUUAUGUUUUCAGAGAGAAGUUUCAGCAGUAUGUUUGGAUCUACAGAAAUCACACUGUGUAACUCAAGUUAGACUGGCUGAACAGGGAUCUGAUUAUUAGUGCUACCACAAGUGUAUUUUGAAGACUAGCAUGUUGUAUCAAAUUUAUAUGGAUUGUAAAUAACUUUUCUGAGGACUGCCAGUAAAUGCACUGUGGGAAUGAAUUAGCUGUUUUCCUGGUUGCUGUGAAGAAUCCACUUGGAUGUGCAUUUGCAAAAUGAGGACUACCGUGUAACUUAGCAUUCAGGUUUCCCCCAGGAGUCGAGGUGUGUUGUGUGUCCCUGCAGCAAUGCUGCAUUCCUUUUCGUUUCUGAUGUUAUUUUGACGAUGGAAUCCUUCUUCGAGACAAAUGGUGCCAAUGCUGAAGAGUAGAUGUGAAGUUGUGAGCAUCAGCUCCUGACGAUACUUGGAAAAGGGCUGGAACUCUUGGGAGACAGACAUAGGACACAUUGCAAAUAAGAGCUAGGAAGAAAAAACACCCUCACAGAAAUAUGACCAGUACUGAAUUCAGCUGAGAUUCCAUAACCCUGCAUCUUUGCUGAACUUUGAUCCAGUAGCAGAAUAUUGGCAAACUCUUUGGAAAAGAUUAAUCUGAUGAGCAGAAUAUAUUACUGUGACUGCAUGCGCCAAGACCCGUGGGACCCAAUUAGUGUGCCUCUAUCGGGAGCUCCUUUCAAAUGAAAAUUGGUGGGCAAAACGUCUAAUCUCGUUCUAGGAAACUCCAGCACUGAUAGAACGCUGGGAACGAUCGAUCCCGCAGGAAGAAAUGUUUCAAAAUGUCCUGCGCAGUAGACAGAGUCAGAAACAGCUCUGGGAUCAACUUCUCAAAAAUGCAGUACGUUUGUUUUAAACGGCAGGCACCAAAAAAAGGGUGUAUUAAAUGCCACAGACGGGUCUAGCUGUAUUGUAAAGCAUUGAAACUUUUUGAGCUAGCGGAACAUUAACCCUGUUUUUUUCUGCAAGGAGAAAGACA